UCAUCUCCAGUAAAUGGAAGUUUCCAGGCUAGGGGUCUAAUCACAGUUGCAGCUGCCAGCCUUUGCCACAGCCACAGCAACACUGGAUCCAAGCUACAUCAGCAACCCAUGCUGGAGCUUGCAGCAACACGGGGUCCUUAACCCCCUGAGCAAGGCCAGGGAUUGAACCCAUAUCCUCAUGGAUGCUAGGUGGAUCCCUAAUCCACUGAGCCACAGGGGGAAUCCCAAGAAUUGGCAUCUUUGAUAUGUUGUCUUUCACACCAUGAACACGGUAUGUCUCCCACUUAUUUAGAUCUUCUUUGAGUUCUGGCAUCCGCUUUGUAUAGUUUUCAACAUGAAGACACUGUAAUUGUUUUGUUAAAAGCAUUUUAUCUUUUGAAAAGAUUGUAAAUUGCAGAGACAUUUUAAUUUCUUCUUUUCCAAUAUGUGUACCUUUUAUAUCCUUUUCUUGGUUUCUUGAUCUGGCUGUAUGUUGAAUAAGUGUGCUAAAAGUGGAUAUUCUUGCCUUGGUCCCAUCUUAGAGGGAAAGAAAUCAGCUUUUCAGCAUCAAGCGUAAAGUUAAAUAUGCAGGGGUUUUUAUAGAUCCUGAACAAGGAAGUUCCCCUCGACUCCUAUUUUUCUGAAAGUUUCAUCAUGAGUGGGUAUUAAAUAUUUUCAAUUGUCUUUUUUGCCUUGAUUGAUACAAUCGUGUGAUCUUUAGCCUGUUGACACAGCAAGGAUUAAAUAGAUUGAUUUUUGAAUACCAAGCAGUCUUGCAUACCUGGAAUAAAACUUAGUUGGUUCAACUUAGAAACUAAAGACGACACAAACAGAUGGAAAGAUAUACUCUGUUCCUCAUUGGAAGAAUCAAUACUGCAACACGACUGUACUUGCCCAAGGCAAUCUACAGAUUCAGUGCACUAAAAUCACCAAGGGCAUUUUUCAUAGAACCAGAACACAAAAGUUUAAAAUUUGUAUGGAUAGUACAAAAGACCCUGAAUAGCCAAAACAAUCUUGAGAAAGAAGGAUGGAGCUGAGGAAUCAGGCUCCCUGAUGUCAGAUUAUAUAUACUACAAAGCUACAGCUAUCAAAAGAGUAUGGUAAUGGCACCAAAACAGACACAUAGCUCAAUGGAAAAGGAUAUAAAGCCCAGAAAUAAACGCACACAUUUACUGCCAGUUACUCUACAACAAAAGAGGCAAGAAUAUACAAUGGAGCAAAAAAAUAGUCUCUUCAGGAAGUGAUGGAUGCUGGGAAAACUGGAGAGCUACACAUAAAAGAAUGAAAUUACAAUAUCCCAGGAGUUCCUGCUGGUAACCUGGUACAGCAGGUUAAGGAUCCAGCAUUGUCACCGCAGUGGCUCUGGUUACGGCUACAGUGUCGAUUCAAUACCUGUCCCAGGAGUUUCUGCAUGCCACAGGCAUGCCCAAAAAACCAAAAAUAAACUCAAAAUGGAUUAAGACCUAAAUGUAAGACUGGAUACUAUAAAACUCUUAGAGGAAAACAGAGGCAGAGCACUCUCGGACAUAAAUUGCAGUCAUAUGUUUUGGAUCUGUCUCUGGAGUAAUAAAAACAUAAAUAAAUGAGACCUUAUUAGACUUAAAAGCUUUUGGACAGCAAAAGAAACCAUAAACAAAACAAAAAGACAGUCUACAAAAUGGGAGAGAAGAUUUUCAAAUGAUGCCACCGUCAAGGGAUUAAUUUCCAAAAUAUAUGAACAGCUUAAUAUUACAUAUAUAUAUAAUAUAUAUAUAUGGACAGAUGGACAGAUCUGGGAGUUCCCAUUGUGGCUCAGUGGGUUAAGAAGCUGACUAGUAUCCAUGAGGGUGUAGGUUCGAUCCCUGGCCUUGCUCAGUGGGUUAAGGAUCUGGCAUUGCAGCAAGCUGCAGUGUAGGUCACAGAAGCAGCUCAGAACCCUCAUUGCUGCAGCUGUGGUAUAGGCCUGCAGCUACAGCUCUGAUUCAACCCCUAGGCCAGAAACUUCCAUAUGCCACAGGUGUGGCCCUAAAUGGAAAAAAAGAAAAAAUGGACAGAAGAUCUAAAGACAUUCCUCCAAAGAAAACAUACAGAUGGCCAGGUGUGUGUUUCUGUGUGUACGUCUGUGUGUGUGUUCAUGUGUUUGUUAUGCUUACAUAUGUGUGUCUGUGUGAGCCCGUGUGUCUGUGUUCCUAUGUGUGUCUGCAUGUCUGUGUUCCUUUGUGUGUGUUUCUGGGUGUGUGCUCUUGUAGGCUCACAUACGUGUGUCUGGGUGUUUAUGUUCCUGUUUGUGGGCAUUCAUAAGUUUCAUAAGUUUAGGGGUGUGGGAGGUGGUGCUUUGGGGUGGCAGGGUUUGUGCUUUUUUUCAGUACUAGUACCUUGGGUUUUUAACUUUUUUAGAAAUUUGCCAGUCUUCCAUUAGUAUCCUUUAACUUAUGAGCAACGUAAGGGGGAAAGUUAUUUAUUUUGCUUAAUCUAGCUGCCUAGAGAUAAGGAAAUGGCGGGGGAGGGGGCCGCUUUGGCCCGGGCUCCCAUUCAGCCGCCCGGGUGAGGACAGAGGUGCAUGUGGUUAGCGAAUUUCCCUGCGUGUCACUUGCUCCGACCACAAGGCUAGUGUGCCCCACAACCCUUGCUAUGCCGGCUCCAACCUCACCACCGCCUCAUCGACCUUAGCUUUCUGGGGGUGGCCGGUGGGCCUGAGCGCAGAGGCACAGCUCCAAGUGUUUUAUACAAAUUAACCCAUUACGCCCUCACGAAACCCAAAAUGUAGGGCGAGUAGUUGCCUCAUUUACAGCCGCGCAAACCUUAGCACAGAGCCGUGAAGCAACAAGGCCGAAGCCACACACGGCGCAGAAAAUGAGCUAAGGCGUCUAGUGGAGAAGCAUUGGGACCACAGCUUCAGCUUGCAAAACAGGGCACAGUUAGCACCGCUGUGGACAUUCGCUGGCUCUCUCUGUACAACAGGCACCUGGAAUGUUCUCGAAACGCCCACACUUGUGGGCUGCAGACCCUGCCCUUCCCUCACAAAGAGCACAGAAAGCUCCGGGAUGACCUCAGACUCGCUCCACCAAAUCCCGGGACCUGCCUGCAGCGCCCCGAUGUCCUGUUGACAGGUGGUCACAACGGGAGGGGCUCGCGUCCCUCUUCUCUCGGGUCCUCGCCUCAAAGAGCCAGGGUGGGACACAGCUCUCUUCUAUGGAAGCACGUUUCUCAACUUUAAAUUGAGAGGACCCUGGAGCGUCUGUACAGCUUGAAAUCAUUCAAACCAGACGUUGCUGAGGCCACAUGUGGGGGCACAGCUGCUUUUCCCAAGAGCACAGCUGCUCCCACCUGAAGACCGGACCGCCUCGCGUCGCUUCCCCUUUUCUCCUCUAGAGGGCGCCACGGAACAAGGAGCGGCCGCUUCCUCUGCUACUUGGGGCAAAUCUCGACUCAGGCAGGGAAAGAAUUCCAAAUACAUGUCUGGAUUGGAUUUUUCAUAAUAUUAGUUGAUUUCAGUUAAUGUUCUUGGUUGUGAUCGUGGAUGACCAAGAGCUGUUUUAUUUUUUUCACAUGCAUUCAUGUAAAAAAAAAAAAAAAAAAGACUUUUUCAAAAAGGUUUGUUAGAAAUUGCAAAUUUAUACUCUCAAAGGAAGUUUUGAUUUUGCCAGAACUAUCGGCUUUUAGUCUAGAGGCACAGUGAUACUUUCUUCCACUAAUAAUGGCUGUGUUGUCACGUAUGACCCAAGGAUAUUAAAUAAAUAUUAAAGACCACCAAUUCAACUCGUGGACAGACGCAUUUAGUCACUACUUGCUCUGCAGGCCCUGUUGUACUGUCUUCCUUCGUCUUCGGCGGGGUGAACUGUCUGUGGCUGAGACUCUGUCCCUUAGCUUUUUUGGAUGAUCUUUGAAGAUUGGAGACAUCCUACACCACAUAUUCAAAAAAAAAAAAAAAAAAAAAGUAUCUGCAGGAGUUCCCGUUGUGGCUCAGCUGGUUAAGAACCUGACAUAGUGUCCGUGAGGAUGCGGGUCCACCUCUGGCCUUGUUCAGAGGGUUAAAGAUCAGGCGCUGCCACAAGCUGCAGCAUAGGUCACAGAUGUGGCUCGGAUCUGGUGUUGCUGUGGCUGCGGUGUAGGCUGGCAGCUGCAGCUCCAAUUUGACCCCUAGCCCAGGAACUUCCAUAUGCAGCAGGUGCAGUGUAAAAAGGAAAAUUAAAAAAAAAAAGAUGUAUCUGCAAACUAUUAUAUAUGCAAUGGAUAGACAACAAGGGCCUACUUAUAGCACAGGGAACGACAGUCAAAACCCUGUGAUAAACCAUAAGGAAAAAGAAUAUGAAACAGCACAUGUUUCAUGUUUAUAUGUAUAUAUGUACAUACUAUAUAUAAAACUGAAUCGCUUUUGCUGUACACCCGAAACUAACACAAGAUUGCAAACCAGCUAUACUGCAAUUUUGUAAAAUGUAUCAAAUUUUGGAUCAGGAUGAUUUUCAUUCUGAGACUUGUUUGGUAUUGCUUUUUUCCGUACACUUAACACAACCUGGUCCCUGUGUCGCCGGGAGAGGGCUGCCAAGUGCAAACUCUCAGCAGGAGGAUGGAGUGCGGGGGGGGGCGGGGGGGGGCGCAAAGGCCGCGGGGAGCGCGGGUGGGAGGCCUUCCUUCGGUCCUUGCGGCCGAAGAGGGCGCCACAAACGGCCCCCCUUCCAGGCUCCCUUGGGACACGGAACCGGCUCAGAGCAAGGAGAAAGCUUUUUACAGACGAGGAAGGCUGUGGAGACAGGACGGAGGAUGCAGCCGCUGUGGCCGCUGCGGAGGGAGCUGUCCUUCUGUGGCUCCCAGUCCCGACCCGCUCCGCCCACCGGAGCCGUCGCUGGGGCUCAGCCCGGGCCCAGCCCGGGAACUCAGUCACCACCAAACCUUUGUUCUACUCCUUGGCUUUUUUUUUCCCCUUCCUGGAAUCCGGAGCCUGGCAACAGCACGAAGCCCUUAGCAGUUGACUUGUCAAAGGCACCGCAAAACCCGGGGUGGCAUCCUGGAGACCUGCCAGGUACCUUCGCCUUUGCUCCUGAAAAGUUGUCACGGGCUGACCUCCCACCGCAGGUCUCCGGAUGCUAUACUCAAAGCCUCCUCCUGGGAUUUCUCCUUAGCUC
rnacentral:lncRNA from 1 species